GUGGGGAAUCUUAGACAAUGGGGGAAACCCUGAUCUAGCCAUGCCGCGUGAGCGAUGAAGGCCUUAGGGUUGUAAAGCUCUUUCAGCUGGGAAGAUAAUGACGGUACCAGCAGAAGAAGCCCCGGCUAACUCCGUGCCAGCAGCCGCGGUAAUACGGAGGGGGCUAGCGUUGUUCGGAAUUACUGGGCGUAAAGCGCGCGUAGGCGGACCAGAAAGUUGGAGGUGAAAUCCCAGGGCUCAACCUUGGAACUGCCUUCAAAACUCCUGGUCUGGAGUUCGAGAGAGGUGAGUGGAAUUCCGAGUGUAGAGGUGAAAUUCGUAGAUAUUCGGAGGAACACCAGUGGCGAAGGCGGCUCACUGGCUCGAUACUGACGCUGAGGUGCGAAAGAGUGGGGAGCAAACAGGAUUAGAUACCCCGGUAGUCC
rnacentral:rRNA from 1 species